GGUGGGGUUCCCGAGCGGCCAAAGGGAGCAGACUGUAAAUCUGCCGUCAUCGACUAAGGUUCGAUUCGAGCGAAAGCGAGAAAGCGUUGCCAACGGCAACGACCCGAAGGGCGAAGCGCGCAGCGCUGAGUCAUCCUUCCCCCACCACCA
rnacentral:tRNA from 1 species